UCCCAGCGCCACGAGUCGCGAUCACGCUUAUUGGGUCUAAAGCAUCCGUAGUCGGCUUGUUAAAUUUCCUGUGAAAUUGUUGCGCUUAACGUACCAACGUGCAGGGAAGACUGGCAAGCUUGGGACCAGGAGAGGUUGAAGGUAUUCUGGGGGGAGCGGUAAAAUGUUAUAAUCCUCAGAGGACCACCAAUGGCGAAGGCAUUCAACCAGAAUGGAUCCGACGAUGAGGGAUGAAAGCUAGGGGAGCGAUCCGG
rnacentral:rRNA from 1 species